GCCCCCGUGAUGGAAUGGCAGACAUGCAUGGUUUAGGACCAUGUCCCGAAAGGGGUAGAGGUUCAAAUCCUCUCGGGGGCA
rnacentral:tRNA from 2 species